rnacentral:lncRNA from 1 species
UGAAGGAUUACAAGAGGUUUGUAAGAAAACUCCAGGGGUACAGUGGUUCAGAAAUGGACAUAACAGCCUAGAGGAAGACCUGGGAGAAGCCCUUGAAUAACCAUUGGUCCAUUGUGCAUCUAGGGUCCUUAACAAAAAGAUAAAAGACAAGUGUAUAAUAUGUUGGAAAAAAAAUUUCCCAUUCCCACACAGUCUAAUGAGAAAAUAUCAGACAAUCCAAAUUGAGGAGCAUUCUACAAAAUGUCCAGUACUCUUCAAAAGUGUCAAGAUCCCCCAAAACAAGACAAGACUAAACAAGACAAGACUAAAAAACUGUCAUAGAUCAGAGAAGAAUGGAGAGACCUGGUGACUAAAUGCUUUGGGCUAUCCUGGAUUGGAUUCUAGAAUAGCAAAUAAGCAACUUUCAGUAAAUACUUUUGUAAUUGCCCAUGAGUUGUCAAGCACUCAUGAGAUGAAGUUCCAACUCUACAGAUGAAAGCCCUGUUUUUGAAUCAAGCACUUCAUGAGUAAGGAUUUCACAAAGCUGCAAAAUCUGCUCUUGAGAACCCCUGACAACUAAAUAUUCCAUGGCUUCCACUGAUAAUCAUGCUGUCAGGCUUGUCAUAUACCAGGAGGUAUCAACAAUCACCAAGCUCUCGUGCAUUAACUACCUGUUUCACCUCCAUUGAGGAUAUGUCUCAGGUCAAUAAUUGGAUCUAUGAAACCUGGCUGUGAUAAAUACCAAGGAAUUCUAUGCCAGUUCACAGCAGUAAGAGUGCAGAAGUGCCAGGCUGAAGAGGCCAUGUCCAUCUGCUUAUUGCAAUUUCUUCCUGAAGAUUGUUUUUGGGUGCUUUAUCAAUUGUCCACAUUGUUCUGGGAGAGUGGAGCUCUAAACUACUGUGAGGAAAUUCUAUGCACAUAGCUGGGGCCUCUCAGCUGCCAGACUUCUCUGUAGGGAACAAAGCAAGAACCAGAUGAUUGCUGAUGGACCCUGACAUGCUGCAUCUGGAGAUGUUUCCUCAGAGAGAAACCCUCUGUUCCCCUGUGCUGAG